rnacentral:rRNA from 1 species
UACGUAGGUGACGAGCGUUGUCCGGAUUUAUUGGGCGUAAAGAGCGUGUAGGCGGCCAGGUAGGUCCGUUGUGAAAACUCGAGGCUCAACCUCGAGACGCCGAUGGAAACCAUCUGGCUAGAGUCCGGAAGAGGAGAGUGGAAUUCCCGGUGUAGCGGUGAAAUGCGCAGAUAUCGGGAAGAACACCCGUGGCUAAGGCGGCUCUCUAGUACGGUACUGACGCUGAGACGCGAAAGCGUGGGGAGCGAACAGG